GAAAUGCGAUACUUGGUGUGAAUUGCAGAAUCCCGUGAACCAUCGAGUCUUUGAACGCAAGUUGCGCUCUCUGGUAUUCCGGAGAGCAUGCUUGUUUGAGUAUCAGUAAACACCUCAACUCCCCUUUCUUUUUUGAAAUGGGAGCUGGACUUGAGUGAUCCCAACGCUUUUCUCACCGAAAAGUGGCGGGUUACUUGAAAUGCAGGUGCAGCUGGACUUUUCUCUGAGCUAAAAGCAUAUCUAUUUAGUCUGCCUAAAAAACAGAUUAUUACCUUUGCUGCAGCUAACAUAAAGGAGAUUAGUUCUUGUGCUGACUGAUGCAGGAUUCACAGAGACGGCUUCGGGGCUGGCCUUUGUAAACUCGAUCUCAAAUCAAGUAAGACUACCCGCUGAACUUAA
rnacentral:misc_RNA from 1 species